rnacentral:rRNA from 1 species
GAUGAACGCUGGCGGCGUGCCUAAUACAUGCAAGUCGAGCGAACGGACGAGAAGCUUGCUUCUCUGAUGUUAGCGGCGGACGGGUGAGUAACACGUGGAUAACCUACCUAUAAGACUGGGAUAACUUCGGGAAACCGGAGCUAAUACCGGAUGAUAUUUUGAACCGCAUGGUUCAAAAGUGAAAGACGGUCUUGCUGUCACUUAUAGAUGGAUCCGCGCUGCAUUAGCUAGUUGGUAAGGUAACGGCUUACCAAGGCAACGAUGCAUAGCCGACCUGAGAGGGUGAUCGGCCACACUGGAACUGAGACACGGUCCAGACUCCUACGGGAGGCAGCGUAGGGAAUCUUCCGCAAUGGGCGAAAGCCUGACGGAGCAACGCCGCGUGAGUGAUGAAGGUCUUCGGAUCGUAAAACUCUGUUAUUAGGGAAGAACAUAUGUGUAAGUAACUGUGCACAUCUUGACGGUACCUAAUCAGAAAGCCACGGCUAACUACGUG